rnacentral:pre_miRNA from 1 species
UUUAUACUCUCUCCGUCCUAAAAUUCUUGUCUUAUAUUUGUGUAGAUACGGAUGUAUCUAAUACUAAAACGUGACUUGAUACAUCCAUAUUUAGACAAAUCUAAGACAAGAAUUUUGGGACGGAGGGAGUAUAUU